rnacentral:rRNA from 1 species
GAUGAACGCUGGCGGCGUGCCUAAUACAUGCAAGUCGAGCGGACGGACGCUAAGCUUGCUUCUCUGAUGUUAGCGGCGGACGGGUGAGUAACACGUGUAUAACCUACCUGUAAGACUGGGAUCACUUCGGAAAACCGGAGCUAAUACCGUAUAAUAUUUUGAACCGCGUGGUUCAAUAGUGAGAUUCGGUCUUGCUGUCACUUCUAGAUGGAUCCGCGCUGCAUUAGCUAGUUGGUAAGGUAACGGCUUACCAAGGCAACGAUGCAUAGCCGACCUGAGAGGGUGAUAGGCCACACUGGAACUGAGCCACGGUCCAGACUCCUACGGGAGGCAGCAGUAGGGAAUGUUCCGCAAUGGGCGAAAGCAUGACGGAGCAACGCCGCGUGAGUGAUGAAGGUCUUCGGAUCGUAAAAAUCUGUUAUUAGGGAAGAACAGCUGUGUACGUAAAUGUGCACAUAUUGACGGUACCUAAUCAGAAAGCCACGGCUAACUACGUG